CCUACGGGUGGCAGCAGUGAGGGAUAUUGGUCAAUGGGCGCGAGCCUGAACCAGCCAAGUAGCGUGAAGGAUGACUGCCCUACGGGUUGUAAACUUCUUUUAUAAAGGCAUAAAGUGAGGCACGUGUGCCUUUUUGUAUGUACUUUAUGAUUAAGGAUCGGCUAACUCCGUGCCAGCAGCCGCGGUAAUACGGAGGAUCCGAGCGUUAUCCGGAUUUAUUGGGUUUAAAGGGAGCGUAGAUGGGUUGUUAAGUCAGUUGUGAAAGUUUGGGGCUCAACCGUAAAAUUGCAAUUGAUACUGGCAGUCUUGAGUACAGUGGAGGUAGGCGGAAUUCGUGGUGUAGCGGUGAAAUGCUUAGAUAUCACGAGGAACUCCGAUGGCGAAGGCAGCCUACUAAACUGCCACUGACACUGAUGCUCGAAAGUGUGGGUAUCAAACAGGAUUAGAUACCCCAGUAGUC
rnacentral:rRNA from 1 species